AUAAGAUCAUAUUGUAACCCCUUUUCAUAAGCUCAAGCUCAAAAUACGACUUACUUUAGCAAUGAUAAGACCAUUACAUCUACGUCUCAGCUAUGGAAGUUCCGCUCGGGUAAGGCUACCGGUUGCAAAGGAAUGAAAAAGCUAAAUAGAAGAUGAAAGUGUCCCCAAGGUUGCUGGUACCAAAUCCUACUCUUUUUCAGGCAGAAGCAGGUGGCAUGCAUGUGGAAGCAAGGAAAGGUGUAGCAGCAAAAAGAAGAGAUUCUCAAACCUUAGCGCCUAGCGCCAUUCCCACGGGUUUAACGACUAGUUUAAUUUCUGCAACAUGUUUCGAAAAGAACUCAACUUUUUUGGUUUUGGAAAAUGUUUAAGAGUCCAUCCAUUCUCCGAAAAGCUAAAGCUACCGGUUGCAGCUGUUACAGCUGUAGUGGCUGGUGUAGCCAGCUUGUGAUGACAUAGGUUUUCGGGGGUAGCGGCUGGUUACAUUUAUUUGGAAGAGAGUUCCAUUACUGCAGGUUUAAAAGAAACUUUUGAAGAGGUUAGAAAUAGCAAAUCUGCAAGAAAGGAGAGAUCAAGACAAGAAAAAUAUUAUCCGUAGAAAAACAAAUUCCAAGAAUCUCCUCUAAUAUGGAUCGGUCGAGCUACUUCUCUUAGGUUUAAAUUCAACCAAUAGGGUUCAGAGAGAGCUCC
rnacentral:lncRNA from 1 species